ACGCCCUUCAACACGCCCAACACGCCCUUCCUCCGUCACAGCAGAAUAUGGAAUAUCCGUCAUAAAACAUUGCUUUAAAAAAGUUGAGUGAAUGUUCUGUUAUAGUAGAGGAUACUUGUCUUCAUGAGAAGAUGGCUUCAUUGUCUGGAUUAACAUAACAUGGAGAAGAACCAGGUUACCAUUGUCAUCGAUUCAAUUACCGGUAGAAACUGCAGCCAAACAUUAACACAGUGGUUUUGAAUUCAUUGGGAGUCCUACAUUGCAGUGGCUUAAAUGGGAUGUGGAUCAAGUGCCUCUGAAAACAAUCCAUUGGUUGUAGAGGAUGAGUCAGAAGAUGUUGUCACUUUUGAAGAACUAGAUUUUGUGCUUAUUGGUUGCCAUGGGGCUAGAAAGAAUAUACCAGGAAACAUCAUCCUGAACAAAAAGGAAUUCAAUUACUGGACAUCAUGGAGAAAACAAGCUGUGAAGAAAGAGACUAAGCUAGGCAGUCGUAAAAUUACUUUGAUCCGCACUGCAGGUUGAUCUGGGAGUUCAUGUAAGGAGGAGACAAAACAGCAGAUUAUAGAAUCUGUCCGGUCCUCAUUUACAGAUGGACCUAACGCUAUCCUCUUGGUUAUUAGAAUCAGUUGUACAGACUCUCUAAAACCGACAAUAUCUAUUUUCAAGAAUGAGGAAGGAGAGAAAAGCACAUAUGAAGAUAUAUUUAUCGAAAGAGCAUUGAAUAAUACAGUGGUGCUGUUCACAAAUGAGGAAGAAUUGGACAAAUUGCAUCUAACUAUUGUCGUGGAAUAUUGCUUCAAAAAUAUAACACUCUUACAAGAACUUGUGAAUUCAAUAUAGGCUUUAAUACAAAGUAGCAAAGCCGAGCCCUUCCAUGGAAAGACCCUACCACACGCAACAGAGCCGAGCCCCUCCAUGGAAAAGACUAAAUUCUCAUAUUACAGAGUCCUAUCUUUAUAGGAUUCUGUCUUUGCAUAACGUAUAGAGUCCCCUCCCUCUAUAUGAAAAUAGCUUCCCUAGACCGUUCUUCACAAUUAUCUCUCCGUGUCAGUUCUUGCUUGUUAUCGCCUGAUGACGCACACAUCUGUUCCGGUUUGGAUUACAAUGGUGGCAGAACCCCCUAGCUUACACAACAAAAAUAAAUGUAUUGUAUAUUGUUCACAUGUCAGUCAAUUUGCCACCACUCUUCUCCUGUCUCCUCCUGACAAUAGUAUGUUAGAAGGUGGAAAUGUUAUUAUGUUCUCAGCUAAUGCAAUCUCUGUCAUGACAUCCUACUCAGAGACGGCAUUUGCACUGCAUGCCCCCACCUCUCUAUCCGGCCAUUGUACUCAUUGUUUACAUUAGUGGCUCAGCAUAUCAGCUGCCCCUAGUAGCCCCCUAGCUCUCUAUCCGGCCAUUGUACUCAUUGUUUACAUUAGUGGCUCAGCAUAUCAGCUGCCCCUAGUAGCCCCCUAGCUCUCUAUCCGGUCAUUGUACUCAUUGUCCUUGCUACUUCCUGCUAUUCAAUCAUGUUCCUUUAGCAUAGCAGCUGCAUCUAGCUUCUUUACUCCCACACUAUUGAGAGAUACAUUACUGACUAUAAUCUUGAAGGGUUGAUAGAGAAAUGUGAAGGAAGGUAUUGUGUUCUUUCUGACAAAAAGUCACGUAAGGUUCAGAAUUCAAAGCUGAUCAAGCAAUUAGAGGAAAUUAUAUCUGGAAACAGACAUGAGAAUUUCAUGGACAUGAUGGAGAGGAUAGUGGAGAAGAUGACAAAUCUAAUAACAAACCAUGAAAAAAAGAUUGCAUGACUUGAGGAAAAGCUGAGUAGUUUCAAGAUUAACAGUGACUUGGAAUCCUGUGAGAGGGAGAUAGAAAAACUGCAGAAGACCAUUAAGCAGAAGAAUAAAGAAAUGCAAGAAGUAAAGGCUUGUAUUGAAAAGUCCCAAAGUCAAAACAGAUAAUCAGACACAGGCAAAAGAGGACAACGAUCCACAACACCUGCGAGACAAAGCAAUCAAUAAGGACAACCUGAUCAAAGAGUUGAGUGGAACUAAAGCACAGUUGGAAAAAGAGUUGAGGACAGCUGAAGAAGAGUUAAAGAGCACUGAAGGAAAGUGGCGGAGAACUGAAGAUGAGUUGAGGAGAACUAAAGCAGAGUUGGAAGAACAUCUGAGGACAGCUGAAGAAGAGUUGAGGAGAACUAAAGAAGAGUUGGAAAAAGAGAAGACAGCUGAAGAGACAAAGAAAACCAUUGGAACGUUAAGAACAGAUUUUUUUUAACUAUAUAAAGAGUUGAACAGGAAGUCUCCUACCUCUUAUUGUAUGGAAGAAAUAAGUAAGAAGAAUAUCAAGGUUUGAUAGGCCAUAUGAAAUGACUCAACGGUCCUGUAUUGCCAACCCUUCUACCCCCACUGGUCAAGCCUUUAUCACUAAACACAUGGAGUUGGUGAACCGACUACGACUCUUGCUGCCCAUACUUACGCGUCUCCAUGUUCGAGGAGUUCUGAGUCAAGAGGAGAUUGAGGAUGUGGAAAGUAAACCCACCAAGUCCAGAAUCGACCCUUGCUCAACAUGGUUGUGCGGAAAGGAGCUCGUGCCCAAGAGUACUUCUACCUAGUCCUGAGAGAAUCAGACCUUUUGUUGGUGGAGGACCUGUGUAACUCGUAAAUAGACCCCCAGGUCUCAGGCAAGGUGACGUGACUGAGCAAGGCCUAAUGUGUACCAAACAACGUCUGCACACAACACGCGGACACACAUUUAUCUUGCUCUCUCAUCAAUUUCAUUUUACUUAAUGUAUGGUAUUACUAAGGUUGCAAAGGGAGAGUAUAUUACUGGUAACUUUCAAAGUUUACCAGUAAACUACCAGAAUGUUGGUAACUUUCAUUUUAUCAGAUGACAUCUAGUGGCCUUCUUGAGCACUUCAGAUUAUUACAGGUGUCUGUGAUUAUCUGUAAUUAUAUCUGGCCCUCUCUGUGGCCUCAUCAAAUGUAAAAUAUAUAAAAUAAUUUAUCCCACUUUAAAUGAUGUUCAGCUUAUAAAUGCUUCAAAAAGCCUUUAUAAUGCCUUCGUAAGCGCUAAAUACAUGUGUUACAAUGCAUCUAUAACCGUAUGUCAUGCUUUAUAAAGGGUUCACAAAUGUGGCUUAACUGUGUGUCAUAAUCACCAAUGUCAAAUGUGACAUUGCACACUAUGUCAAAUGUGACAUAAACAUGUGCUUUAUAAAGGGUGACAUGGUGUGCUGCAGGAUUACAUUACACCUAAGAAACACUGACCUUGAUGAAAGUCCCCAACAUCAGGAAAUUAAAAGUGGCUUUCUUCUGGAACCAAGUUAAAGCUUCCUCAGUACACAAACACACACACACACGAAUAUAACAAGCCAUGCCGUGUGGUGCUGGGCCAAGUCAGGUCUUUGACACAUUCACCCUCUCCCCCACUGAAAGAUCAGUCACAAAAUGUUGGCACCAUUGUAACAGGUUGUUAUCAAGCCCUCCAGGUAGGACUAGGCCUACUCCAAAUCAUCUUGGCUCUGACACACACAAACACAAGCUGUACAGGCCCAUCAAUCCAUUUAAAUAUCUCUCACACCUUACAGUAACCUGUGGCUCAUGAUUGAACCUUCAUAAAUCAGCAGAACGUUUAUAACCUAUUUAUUGACACUUUAUGUAGUUUCCUGUAAUGCUUAGUUUGAAGUGAGACACUUUCAGUCAUUCAUAACACAUCCAUAAAGAGUCUAUAUCGCAUGACGCUGUAUAUAAUUUCAGACCCCUUUGGUCAUUACAAUGAUGUAAACACAAGUGUAUUAACUCUAAAAGAAGCAUCACAAAUAAACAACUACUGUGUAAAAAAAAGUACAGAAUGUAAAUGAAAAUAAAAACAAAAAGCUGUAAAACUAAAAUAAUUUUUGUCCUCCGAAGAGGGUGGAUGGGCCAAUAAAUAAAUAAAAUGAACAGGUUUAUGUAAUUUGACAAAGUGGGUUAUGUCACAUUUGACAUUGGGGAUAAUAUCACACAGUUAUUCCACAUUUAUGAACCCUUUAUAGAGCUUGACAUAGUUAUUGAUGCUUUGUAACACAUUUAUGUAGUGCCUAUGAAUGCAUUAUGAAGGCUUUAUGAAGCCUUUGUAAGCUGAAUGUAAUUUAAAGCGGGAUCAAAUAGGUAAAAUAAGAUUAUUUAAAAAUAAAAAAUAGAAUGACAAAGCUGUAAAAUAUUUAUAAAAAAUAAUUCCAUUGUUGAUUAGAUGCAUUUUUAAUUGAUUAUGCUAUUUUCUCGUAGGUUAGCGUUUUUCGCCAUGAAUCUUGUUCUGGAGGCAGGUCUGCAGAGUGGUCACUAGCUGGCACAGCCACAAAGUCAUAAAAUCACAUUUUAAACCUAACCUUAACCACACUGCUAACCCUAAUGCUUAACCAUAACCUUAAAUUAAGAACAAAAAGCUAAAAAAUAAAACAAUUGUCAUACAUUUUUACAAUAGCCAAUUUUGACUUUGCAGCUGGCCCAUCUAGCGGAAAUCUGUAAAUUAUGUUCCGAGGGCAAGAUUCAUGACAAUAAACAUCAACCUGCUAUUUUAUCUUGAACCAUAUAAUCUAUCAACUAGAAACUCAUGGACAAUAUAGACACAUAUCCAAAAUGUUAACUAUAUAUGAAUAUUUUUUUUAUUCAAGUAUUACGGAAAUUACUAUAGAUUACCAUAGAUUAAUUAAUUACCAAAAAUCAAGAACAUUUGGGUUACUUUAGGAAACUACCGGUAGCUUUGCAACCCUAGGUAGUACCUGCAUUUAUUAGCUCUACCUGAGAGAAACAAACUGUGGAAAGAACUGGAAGAGCCAGAGCUGGUUGGUGUGUAAUAACGUGUUCCAACAUCACCUAGGACAGGACAUCAUGCACUCUCACCAGUGAAACGCUGCAGUUAUAAGUUUGAAGUUAUCUGUGCUGUCUACCGGACGAAGAGCCUGUCAAUUUCUAAGAAGAGGGGUUAACUUGAGACGGUUAACUUCGGACAUGCAUUCAGAGGGGUGAAGCAUUUGACAAAAUAUACUCUUCAGAAAGGACAAUAUUCCUCACUUAACAUGACAAGUUAAUUAUGUUUUAUCUUUUACUGUACAUGAUCUGUCUGCAGCAUUGUAAAUGUUUAACUGUCUUGGUUAGGCCCCCAGGUCUCAGGGAAGGGGACUUGACUGUGAAAGGCUUAUGUAUAACAAUCUCUACUACACAGGUGUACUAACUGAACACAACCAACUCAGGGUAGGUAAAUAACCUGAUCAGAACAACUUUGUGGUUGAAGCUUGACACCCCCUGGUGUGGUGGUGGAAGGACAUUGUGGACAAUGUUGUUUUUUUUAAUCUUACUCUUUACACCAGGGAUCAUCAACUAGAUUCAGCAGCGAGACAAUUUUCUUGUUGAGUGGAUGGUCCGGGUGGCCGGAACAUAAUCACAAAUAAUUGUAGACUGCAAAUUGACUGCAAGAAACCCAAAUAGAUAUAAUGUUCGACUAAAACAUAGUAAUUUCAAACCUAGCUUACAUUUGUUUACGAUCAUGUGUCUCUCUAUUAUGCGUGGGAAUAUUUGGGAACAGAUUUCUUAAAUUAAAAUCACCUGGAGCUGAUUUCCUGGUGUUUUUACAGUCUUUUGGGUACAACGAAUUUAAAAUAGAAUAGAAACUAAAUAAAAAUAGUUUUUUUUUUUGCUCUGAAAAAUUUUACACUGUAUAAUCUUUUGAGCCUUAAUCCAAAUCUCGAAAUAGUGUCACGGAUUCCCCCGGUACUGCUGCUCCUUCCCUGCACCAGUUCCGGAGGUCUACUUCACCAUCCUCUAGGCACUUGUUAUUACGGGUCUUGUAAUGUGUAUUUAUUAGAGGUUUUACCUCGCUCUUUUGUUUGGGUUACAUCCCUGUGUUUUUGCAUACGUGUUUGUUUUGGGCUUCGUCACCGUGGCUUUUCAUGGCAUGUUGUAUAUUUUGGGUGUGGUAUUAAACCCCCCUAUUAUGAAUUAAUCUGCCUGUCUCCAAUCAUUUAUACAAUGUGACAAAUAGCUGUAUGUUUCAACUUUAUUUUUCUUGCACUAACACUCACAGUUGUCUUUUCUUACAGUACUAGCGCUGAUUUCACUGAUAGCGGCUUUAUACAUUUUUACUUGCAAUGACUGAUAUCUUACCUACCUUAGAUGAAUUUAUUGACUGCAUGUCUCUCUGGAUAAGAGUGCCUGCUAAAUGACCUAAAUGAAAAUAAAUAUGAAUGUCUGUCACUGUAUUUUAUAGUUUUGUCACUUCAUGUUAUAUUUUGAGGUAUCAGGUACAGUGAUAUGAAAUGGGUUUUGCCCCCUUUCUGAUUUGCUCUAGUUUUGCAUAUUUGUGAUACUGAAUGUUAUCAGAUCUUCAACCAAAACCUAAUAUUAGAUAAAGGGAACCUGAGUUUACAAAUAAAAAACAGAACCCAGCUUCUUACUGUGGAAUGCAGUGUUUGGUUUUCGCCAGACAUAAUGGGACCCAUCUUGUCCAAAAAGUUGACUCGUUUGCCAAAUGCACCUGGAAGAACCUGGAUGGACAGAUGAGUCUAAGGUAUAACUUUUUGGACGGCAGGGGUGCCAUUAUGCCUGGCAAAAACCAAACACUGCAUUCCACAUUAAGAACCUCAUACCAACGGUCAAGCAUGGUGGUGGUAGUGUGACAGAAGGUACCAUAAAUUCUGCCUUAAUAGAAGGAACCAUGAAUUCUGCUCUGUAUCAGAGAAUUCUACAGGAGAAUGUCAGGCCAUCCGUUUGUGAGCUGAAGCUGAAGCUGAAGCGCAGCUGGGUCAUGCAGCAAGACAAUGAUCCAAAACACACAAUCAAGUCUACAUGAAAAUGGCUAAAAAGCAACACUUUUCAAGUUUUGGAAUGGCCUAGUCAAUGUCCAGACCUAAUCUCUAUUGAGAUGUUGUGGCAGGACUUGAAAUGAGCAGUUCAUGCUUGAAAACCCACACGUCGCGAAGUUAAAGCAGUUCUGCAUGGAAGAGUGGACCAGAAUUCCUCCACAGCGAUGUGAGAGACUGAUCAACAACUACAGGAAGAAUUUGGUUGGAGUCAUUGCAGCUAAAGGUGGCACAACCAGUUUUUGAGUGUAAGGGGGAAAUUACUUUUUCACACAGGGGCAUUGGGUGUUGCAUAACUUUUUUUAUGAAAUAAAUUAAAUAAGUAUGUAAUUGUUGUGUUAACUGUUCACUCAGUUUCCCUAUAUCUAAUGUUAGGGUUUGGUUGAAGAUCUGAUAACAUUCAGUAUCAGAAAUAUGCAAAACUAGAGCAAAUUAGAAAGGCGGCAAAUAAUUUUUCACAGCACUGUAUUUUCCUACCAUAGCCUAUUCUGCUGUGACACUGAAUUACUUAUUCGUGAUCAAUAAAGUCUCUAUCAAUUCAGGUAUGCAAAAAUUAUCCCUCAAAAAUGUGCUAUUUUUUGGUUGUUGUUGACUACAUUUUGUUAAGUAUAAAUUAUUAUAGUACAUUUA
rnacentral:lncRNA from 1 species